UCUAAGUGUAAGAAAGGAGGGUGGAGAGUGGGCAGAAGUCAUUGUUUCCAUCAUGAAAGUCAACAUCAGUAUUUCCUGUCCUGGGGACAAACCAGUGCCUCAUGUUUCUGGAAACGCUGCAGCAUUUAACUUCAAUUUUAAUCUGGAUAACGCCAAAGCUUUUCCUCAAAUUCACCCCUGGAGUCAGCUCAUAGAUGCUCUGAUUUUGUCUACCAUUGCUCCUCCUUAAUAUCUCUCGCACAGGUGCCAUUGACCUUUAGAUGGGCUGUACGGUGUGGGGUUCGGUGCCAUGGAUCUGCUUCUCCAGGGACCAGGAUCUUGAGAUCUUCAGGCUGGGUUUCCAUGGAGGCAUGGAGCUGCUUUUCCUCCUUCAUAACUGCACUCAAAACAGCCCUGUUGCUCUAGAAUGGAGACUUGGGCAACUCCUUCUGGCACAGAUUUGUUCACCUCAGGUGAAAUUCAGAUAGAAGCAAGCUGCAGGCAGUUUCACCUCUAAGUCCAUGGGUUCUCAACUGGUAACGUCCUCUUAUGGAUGUUAGCCCAUGAGGUCAAUCCUGUAGCAAUCUAAGGCUUGAGAAAAAUUAAUCUUCUGGAAAAUUCCAAGAAUACAUCUUAGGGAAACUGGCUCUACCUUUAUGACUUGGAUCACACAAGGAUAUGCUUUUCAUCUUGGACUAGAACUGAGAGCCAAUGGAUGUGUUAUCUAAAACUAUCCCAGUGUGUUCACUAUACAGAGGAAGAUUCUGAGAUUCAAGACUCAAGACUGAAGAAGAUCAUUAUUUUUAUUAUUUUAGUCUUAUGCACAAAAUGAUAUCUACUGAAUAAGCAGGUUUUUAAUAGGUGACUUAUAUAUGUUAGCAAAAAUAAACACUUUGUCUUUUAGAUCUAUUCUAGUUUUUCAGUAGCUGUAGACUUAAGUGCUAACUUUUAGCCCAUAGGAUAAGAAGAAACCAAGUCCUAAAAGUAGGCCAGCACCAGGGUUCAGGCCUCUGACUUCAAGCCAAGGGCUCAUCAUCUUGAAUUGCGCACGAAUUUUUACACAGCGCCAAAGGAAACUGCCUGUACUUACUGUUGUAGGUGCUUUGCUGGAUUCAGGAUGCAGACAAGGUCCACGCAUUGUGGUUGGCUUUAUUGAAGUAUCAGAGAAUCAUUUUCUUAAGAGAUGGUAAUGGAAUCCAUGCAUUUGAAAUAAAUCAACAGAAAAAAAUGAUUCAGAAGAGAGGGAACUAGCCUAAGGACAACUGUGAUAUUGUGAAAUAUAUAUAUGGGUCUUCAUCCUGUGUCCUGGCAUACCUAAAACCCUUGGAAUAUCCAAAGGCAUGCUUUUCAUGUGCAAAUGAUUGACUGAUGUCUUCAGGAUGGAGCCAAUCACCAGAAAUGUCAAAGCAUAAUUAGAGUGUUGGGACUUUCAGCCAUACCCCACACCCCUGACCUUUGGGGAGGAGAGACGGGCAGAAGGUUAAGUCCAUCAACAAUGGCCAGUGAUGUAAUCAGUCAUGCCUAUGUAAUGAAGCUUCCAUAAAAAUCCCAAAGGACUGGGUCUGGAGAGCUUCUGGAUAUCUGAGCACAUGGAGGUUCCUGGAGGGUGGUGCCUGGGGCAGUCAUGGAAGCAUCUCAUCCCUUCCCACAUGCCUUGCCCUAUGCAUCUCUUCAUCUGUAUCCUUUAAAAUAUCUUUGUAAUAAACUGCUAAGCAUAAGUGUGUCCCUGAGUUCUGUGAGCCAUCCUAGCAAAUUAACUAAACUGAGGAGGGAAUCAUGGGAAAUCCAAUUUAUAGCCAGUCUGUCAGAAGCACAGGUAAAAUAACCUGGGGCUUUUAAUCACCAUCAGAAGUAGGGGGCAAUCUUGUGGGUCUCAGCCCUCACCCUGUGGGAUCUGAUGCUACCACUAGGGAGAGAGUGUCGGAAUCGAAUUGGAGGACUCACAGCUGGUGUCCACUGCUGCAAGACUGGUUACUUGCCU
rnacentral:lncRNA from 1 species